rnacentral:rRNA from 1 species
AUUGAACGCUGGCGGCAUGCCUUACACAUGCAAGUCGAACGGCAGCACGGGUGCUUGCACCUGGUGGCGAGUGGCGAACGGGUGAGUAAUAUAUCGGAACGUACCUUAUUGUGGGGAUAACGCAGUGAAAGCUGUGCUAAUACCGCAUAAUCCCUAAGGGGGAAAGCGGGGGACCGUAAGGCCUCGCGCAAUUAGAGCGGCCGAUACCUGAUUAGCUAGUUGGUGAGGUAAAGGCUCACCAAGGCAACGAUCAGUAGCUGGUCUGAGAGGACGAUCAGGCACACUGGGACUGAGACACGGCCCAGACUCCUACGGGAGGCAGCAGUGGGGAAUUUUGGACAAUGGGGGCAACCCUGAUCCAGCAAUGCCGCGUGAGUGAAGAAGGCCUUCGGGUUGUAAAGCUCUUUUGUCAGGGAAGAAACAGCAGCUCUAACACAGUAUGCGAAUGACGGUACCUGAAGAAUAAGCACCGGCUAACUACGUGCCAGCCGCCGCCGUAA